GAUGAACGCUGGCGGCGUGCCUAAUACAUGCAAGUCGAGCGAACGGACGAGAAGCUUGCUUGUUUGAUGUUAGCGGCGGACGUGUGUGUAACACGUGUAUAACCUACCUAUCAGACUGGUAUAACUUCGGGAAACCGGCUCUAACACCGGAUAAUAUUUUGAACCGCAUGGUUCAAAAGUGAAAGACGGUGUUGCUGUCACUUAUAGCUGCAUAUUCGCUGCAUUAGCUAGUUGGUGAGGUAACGGCUUACCAAGGCAACGAAGCAUAGCCGAACUGAGAGGAUGAGCGGCCGCCCUGGGACUGAGACACGCUCCAGAGUCCUACGGAAGCGAGCAGUAGGGAAUCUUGCGGCAUGGGCGAAGACCUGUCGGAGCAACGCCGCGUGAGUAAUGAGGGUCUUCGGAUCGUAAAACUCUGUUAUUAGGGAAGAACAUAUGUGUAAGUAACUGUGCACAUCUUGACGGUAACUAGGCAGAGAGCCACGGCUAACUACGUG
rnacentral:rRNA from 1 species